rnacentral:rRNA from 1 species
AUUGAACGCUGGCGGCAUGCCUUACACAUGCAAGUCGAACGGUAACGCGGGGCAACCUGGCGACGAGUGGCGAACGGGUGAGUAAUGCAUCGGAACGUGCCCAGUAGUGGGGGAUAGCCCGGCGAAAGCCGGAUUAAUACCGCAUACGACCCACGGGUGAAAGCGGGGGACUCGCAAGGGCCUCACGCUAUUGGAGCGGCCGAUGUCAGAUUAGCUAGUUGGCGGGGUAAAGGCCUACCAAGGCGACGAUCUGUAGCUGGUCUGAGAGGACGACCAGCCACACUGGGACUGAGACACGGCCCAGACUCCUACGGGAGGCAGCAGUGGGGAAUUUUGGACAAUGGGCGCAAGCCUGAUCCAGCCAUGCCGCGUGCGGGAAGAAGGCCUUCGGGUUGUAAACCGCUUUUGUCAGGGAAGAAACGCUCUGGGUUAAUACCUCGGGGUAAUGACGGUACCUGAAGAAUAAGCACCGGCUAACUACGUGCCAGCCGCCGCCGUAAGAC